AGCUCAAAUUUGAAAUCUGGCAGUCUUCGAUUGUCCGAGUUGUAAUCUAUAGAGGCGUUUUCCGUGCCGGACCGUGUCCAAGUCUCCUGGAAAGGAGUAUCAAAGAGGGUGAUAAUCCCGUACUUAACACGACCACCGGUGCUCUGUGAUACGUCUUCUACGAGUCGAGUUGUUUGGGAAUGCAGCUCAAAAUGGGUGGUGAAUUCCAUCUAAAGCUAAAUAUUGGCGAGAGACCGAUAGCGAACAAGUACCGUGAGGGAAAGAUGAAAAGCACUUUGGAAAGAGAGUUAAACAGUACGUGAAAUUGUUGAAAGGGAAACGAUUGAAGUCAGUCGUGUUCUUUGGAUUCAGCCAGUUCUGCUGGUCUACUUCCUUGGAACGGGUCAACAUCAGUUUUGUCCGGUGGAUAAAGGUAGUAGGAAUGUGACUUCUCCGGAAGUGUUAUAGCCUAUUAUCACAUACACUGGGUGAGACUGAGGACUGCAGCUCGCCUUUAUGGCCGGCCUUCGGGC
rnacentral:rRNA from 1 species